CUGCCUGUUCUCGCUCGUGUGUGUUCUCUCUCGAUUGCUUGCUCGCUCUCUCUGCCUCUCUGCUUGUCUAAGAAAAGAGCUGUUGGCUUUGAGAGAAGACCUUGAUAUUACAACUGUGUUAGUAGAUUGAGAUUUCUGUUAGAGUCUUUCUGUUUAGGUCAGAAGUGUUCUUUAUAGAACAGAAUUGGGAGCUUGUAAUCAUAAUGUACUGUUUUUCAACCCUAAUCUCUUGACCAAGAAUGAAACUAUUUACAAAUUAAGAUGCCAACAGAUCACGAAGAGCCCUGUGGUCCCAGUCACAAGUCAUUUUGCCUGAAUGGGGGGCUUUGUUAUGUGAUACCUACUAUUCCCAGCCCAUUUUGUAGGAAGUGAACUGAUGCUGGCUUCUCUUUGUCUUAUUCCAAGUUGGGGCAUGAGAUUUUCCCUGCAUUAGAAGGUUGUUGAGACCUGAAGCCUGGGAAGGUGUAUUGAAAACUAUACAGGAGCUCGUUGUGAAGAGGUUUUUCUCCCAAGCUCCAGCAUCCAAACUAAAAAUAACCUGUUUGAAGCUUUCAUGGCGUUGGCAGUCCUAAUAACACUUAUCAUUGGAGCCUUCUACUUCCUUUGCAGGUGUGGUAACACAUGCAUGUAGUCCUAGCUGCUUGGGAGGCUGAGAUGGAAAGAUCACUUGAGCCCA